rnacentral:rRNA from 1 species
UGCCAGCAGCCGCGGUAAGACGAAGGUGGCAAGCGUUGUUCGGAAUUACUGGGCAUAAAGAGCGCGUAGGUGGCGUGGUCAGCGAGGAAUGAAAUCCCAUGGCUCACCCAUGGAACUGUUUCUCGAACUGCCAUGCUUGAGGACGGGAGGGGAAGGUGGAAUUCCGAGUGUAGAGGUGAAAUUCGUAGAUAUUCGGAGGAACACCAGUGGCGAAGGCGGCUCACUGGCUCGAUACUGACGCUGAGGUACGAAAGUGUGGGGAGUAAACAGGAUUAGAUA